rnacentral:rRNA from 1 species
AAUGAACGCUGGCGGCAUGCCUAACACAUGCAAGUCGAACGAAGGCCCGAUUUCGGUUGGGUCCUUAGUGGCGCACGGGUGCGUAACGCGUGGGAAUCUGCCCCUUGGUUCGGAAUAACAGUUAGAAAUGACUGCUAAUACCGGAUGAUGACGUAAGUCCAAAGAUUUAUCGCCGAGGGAUGAGCCCGCGUAGGAUUAGCUAGUUGGUGUGGUAAGAGCGCACCAAGGCGACGAUCCUUAGCUGGUCUGAGAGGAUGAUCAGCCACACUGGGACUGAGACACGGCCCAGACUCCUACGGGAGGCAGCAGUGGGGAAUAUUGGACAAUGGGCGAAAGCCUGAUCCAGCAAUGCCGCGUGAGUGAUGAAGGCCUUAGGGUUGUAGAGCUCUUUUACCCGGGAUGAUAAUGACAGUACCGGGAGAAUAAGCUCCGGCUAACUCCGUGCCAGCAGCCGCGGUAAUACGGAGGGAGCCAGCGUUAUUCGGAAUUACUGGGCGUAAAGCGCACGUAGGCGGCUUUGUAAGUAAGAGGUGAAAGCCCAGAGCUCAACUCUGGAAUUGCCUUUUAGACUGCAUCGCUUGAAUCAUGGAGAGGUCAGUGGAAUUCCGAGUGUAGAGGUGAAAUUCGUAGAUAUUCGGAAGAACACCAGUGGCGAAGGCGGCUGACUGGACAUGUAUUGACGCUGAGGUGCGAAAGCGUGGGGAGCAAACAGGGAUUAGAUACCCUGAUAGUCCACGCCGUAAACGAUGAUAACUAGCUGUCCGG